rnacentral:misc_RNA from 1 species
AGAAAGAAAGAAGAGAAAGAUGAAAGGAAGCGCAAGUAUAAUGUUACAUGGAAUGACGAGGUUACACCCGAAGAGAUGGAGGCAUAUAGGAUGACGAAAAUACAUCAUGAUGACCCAAUGAAGAAUUUCCUACACUAGGUUUUAUAUAUGCACAUCUAGCUCUGGUGGAUUAUUCAAGGCCUGAUUUCCUAGUUCGGCUCAGUCAAGUUGGCAACUAGCUAUGCUGUAGUUCGUUGUACUGCU